AACGAACGCUGGCGGCAGGCUUAACACAUGCAAGUCGAACGCCCCGCAAGGGGAGUGGCAGACGGGUGAGUAGCGCGUGGGAAUCUACCGAGCCCUGCGGAAUAGCUCCGGGAAACUGGAAUUAAUACCGCAUACGCCCUACGGGGGAAAGAUUUAUCGGGGUUUGAUGAGCCCGCGUUGGAUUAGCUAGUUGGCGGGGUAAAGGCCUACCAAGGCGACGAUCCAUAGCUGGUCUGAGAGGAUGAUCAGCCACAUUGGGACUGAGACACGGCCCAAACUCCUACGGGAGGCAGCAGUGGGGAAUAUUGGACAAUGGGGGCAACCCUGAUCCAGCCAUGCCGCGUGAGUGAUGAAGGCCUUAGGGUUGUAAAGCUCUUUCACCGGGGAAGAUAAUGACGGUACCCGGAGAAGAAGCCCCGGCUAACUUCGUGCCAGCAGCCGCCGUAAAAC
rnacentral:rRNA from 1 species